rnacentral:sRNA from 1 species
CUGAGCCAUUUCUCCAGCCCCCAUAAUUCUAUUUCUAAAGUGUCCUUUUCUUUCGAAAUAUACUUACAUAAAGUGUGGCCUUAACCAAAAAUUUUAAAUCUUGUUCUUCAGCAUUAGUUAUAUUCAAUUACUAUUGUCUUACAUUCAUGAUGUUCUAUCGUUAUUCUUCUGUUAUUCUUCUCUCAUUCAUUACAUCUCAAUUCCCUCCACCAAUUCCAUGCAGCUCUCCCAAUUAUCUCUCCUCUCACCCAGAUCCACACCUUUUCCCAUUAUGUUCAAAAGAGAGAGGGGGAGGAAAGGGACAGGGUAUAGGGAAAGGGGAAAGGGAAAGGGUGAGAGAGGUUACACAAGGAUGUGUCAACCAAACACCAUAAGUUAGCAUCAAAAGUUACGGUAAGACAAAACUGCUUAUUAAGACUGGCCGAAGAAACCAUCAGAGAUUUAAUUACUUCUGGAUGAAGUAAUUGAAAGUAUGCAUUAGGAUGGAUGGUAUAUUUACUUGUUAAAAAUUAUUUUUAAAACUCAUUUGUAAAUUAUUCUGAUGAGUGGAUUUAGAACCACAGCAAUUCGUAAAAGAUGCUGUCUAGAAAAUCCGACUGAUAUAAAACCACAUUAAAGCUGAGAAAGUCCUUUUCCUUUCUGUAUCCUCAACAACAGCAUGUAUCCGAUUGCAGCAAACUGAUCCAGUAAAUAGAAGGUCUACAGGAAAUGAGUUAUAAAAGCGCUGCGCAGUGUGUUGCCCCUCUCUUUCAGACCCUGGCUUCUGGCAAGAGAAAAUAUGGUGAAACUACAAAGACCAGAAAUCCUUUCGGUUUUCAACUUCCCUUGGAGCCAAGCCUGGGAGUGACACCCACUUCAUUCAAUUCCUGUGGUCGUGGGAACACUGGAAAGUGGUUUGUUUUCCCUUUUGUUACAUUCAGGAUUUCUUUGAUUGAAUCUUGUCUUCGCAAUAAUUACUGAUAAUACAAGUCUCGCCUUUAUUUUUUCCGUUAAUCUUGGAAUGCGGCUAAAAGAAGGAAGUGAACGAUUCAGAAUUAAUUGAGGGAUUACAGAAGUCACGAUUCAAUUCAAGACAUCGGGUCGAACACUACAAUCUUUGAAACAUUUGCAGUCGAGAAUUGGAGGGCAGUUAAUAAAUAUGCAAUUUCAUUCUUUUAUCUGCGGCCAUUCCCAUUGAUCAGAAUCAUUUAUUAAAAUUUUUAAAUUUUAUUAAACUAACAGAUAUCACUGUGGGAUUAUAUUGGCUACAUUUCUAAGGAAAAGUGACCCUCGUGCAUCAGGCAGUCAUCAGUGCUAAGGGAGCCCAGCUUUAUAAACUACAGUUGAAUUUGUUUCUGAAUGGGCGGGGAAGGAUUUCAUCUGGAAGCAAUGGGAAGAAAAGGGACUAAAUUUUUCAAAGAAGAAAAAGUAGAUGAAAGUUACCAUGUUGUGACCUGUAAUUUCACAUUGGGAGAGAUAAACGUGGAGUACUUCUCUGAGGACACUUUGGAUUACACUAAUUAGAAGGAACCUUAGGCUGCAGUUUGUGAAUGAAGUAGAGAGUUGGACAUUCUAUCUUUGUGAAUAAUUGAUGGAAUUUUGAUGGGGAAUUGCACUGGAACUGCAGAUCGCUUUUGUAAACUAUAGAAGCGGAUGUCUGUACCAAAGAUGAAAGAUGAGGUAACUGUAUCAGUGAUGGAUUAUAUCUGAGUCCAUUCAUAUUUCUCUUCAGUUGAUCAAUUCAGUAAGUUUAAUGCCAUGUUGUAUACAGAUUUUGUCACCUUAACUGGGACAAACCAUGUAAAAUCUGGGAUCAGGAAAAUUUCUUCUGUUCUUUUAUUCAGGGUUUUUGUUUUUGUUUGGUUUUGCUUUUGUUUGUUUUUUGUGGUUGUUAUUGUU